CCCAGGCUAGCUCAGUCGGUAGAGUACAGGACUUAAUCCCAGGGUCAUGGGUUCGAGCCCCAUGUUGGGCG
rnacentral:tRNA from 1 species